UCCUCGGUAGCUCAAUUGGCAGAGCAGCCGGCUGUUAACCGGCAGGUUACUGGUUCGAGUCCAGUCCGAGGAGC
rnacentral:tRNA from 3 species